rnacentral:lncRNA from 1 species
GUUGAAAUGAUAAACAUUUGUAGUUGGCUUUCUGUUGGGUAGCUGUCUCCAUAUUUGGUCAAGUCAUUAUGGCCACCAUAGUCAGCUUUGCAUGAAGUGUAGUAAGCAUGGUCUUGACCUUAGGCACUGGACUUGCACCAUUUAAACUCAGAUCUCCAGGCAGAGUUGAAUUUGAUUAGAUAAUUGGUCUUCUUUAAUUUGCUGCUUGAGUAUUUGGUGAUAACAUAUGGUUUGCAUUUUGAUAAAUAUUAAAAUUUUAGACGUGUCCAAGGCCAACAUACUCAUAUUGGUAUUCCAUUGGCUUGGAUGGAAUACAAGCCAUAAAUAUCAUAUUUGAGUUGAUUUCAUUUGUCUCUGAGAUUCAGUAACUGAUCCUUGCAGAAUUGUUAUCAACAGCAUCAAAUUACAAUGAAUUAAUAUAGCAUAAAGUCGUUGUUUAUACAUUUACAACUAAUCUGUUGUCAGUAUUUCACUUUUAAUCAUCCUGGUAUGUGUCUUAAACUAGCUAGUUAUCACCAGGUAUUGCCAAUUGUCUUUUAUUGUUGUAUACACAGUGUAAUCCUUAACACCUUCAUUGAUUACAGGACCCUAAUUGCAUUUUUACCUUUGAAACAAAAUCAAAACAGGAAAUAGUG